CGGAGGCUGCUGGGAAUCUACUGUAGAUUGAGUCCCACACCUUCCUGGCUCGGAAUGCUCUCGCGGUAGUGGAGCCUUCGCGCGGGACCUUGCUGGGGAAUGUACGUUACAGAAAUAGGUUUGUAGGUGCAGCACAUGAGACUCUGUUCCAGUGAAAUGCUACAUUCAAAGAAGUGCUGUCCACCUCAGAAGAUCCCAGAGGAUGCAAUUCUGGCUGUGCUGGGAAGUGCUAAAGUUCCCUCCAUAUGUCACUCUGGAGAAGGAAGCAGCAAAGCAGCCAUGUUGAGUUCCUCUCUCAACCUUUGGCAUCAUGGACGAUGGUAGCUAAAACAGAUAAAAAAGAGACAAGUUACCACAUGAUGUCCAUUGCUUUGCUAUUAAUGUAUCAGUAGUAAUGAAAUUAUAUCCUAAUUAA